CGUAAGCGGAUGUGGACGAAGUGGAAGUGAGAAUGUCGGCUUGAGUAGCGAAAACAUUGGUGAGAAUCCAAUGCCCCGAAAACCUAAGGUUUCCUCCGGAAGGCUCGUCCGCGGAGGGUGAGUCAGGACCUAAGGUGAGGCCGAAAGGCGUAACUAAUGGACAACGGGUUAAUAUUCCUGUACCAUUUAUUACUGGUAUCGAGGGACGGAGAAGGCUAAACCAUCCGGAUGUUGGUUACCGGUUUAAGCGUUAAAGGUGUUGAGAAACGGAGAAAACGUUUUGAGCUAAGGCGUGAAUACGAGAUACUAAGGUAUCGAAGUGGUUGAAGUCAUACUUCCAAGAAAAGCUCGGAAUAUCAUAAGUAAUAAAUGCCUGUACCUUAAACCGACACAGGUAGGUAGGUAGAGUAUACCAAGGGGCGCGAGAUAACUCUCUCUAAGGAACUCGGCAAAAUAACUCCGUAACUUCGGGAGAAGGAGUGCCUUAUUUAUAUAAGGUUGCAAUAACAAGAUCCAAGCAACUGUUUACCAAAAACACAGGUCUCCGCGAAUUCGUAAGAUUAAGUAUGGAGGCUGACGCCUGCCCAGUGCCGGAAGGUUAAAGAAGUUGGUCAAUCCUCGGAUGAAGCUGGCGACUGAAGCCCCGGUGAACGGCGGCCGUAACAAUAACGGUCCUAAGGUAGCGAAAUUCCUUGUCGGGUAAGUUCCGAC
rnacentral:rRNA from 1 species